CUGACAAUGGAACAGAAUUGCUGCUUGCUCAAUUAGUUAGACUAUAGAACAUAUUUCAAUCUGACUCCCAAAAUGUGAAGGAAUAUCUGUCACAUAUGUUGCUAGAGGCUUUAGGAAGGGGAAGAGUCCAAGCCGACACUGAUCAGUUGGAUGCCAACUGAAAAACGGAGGAGACAUGGGAGGGGAAACCCAUUGCUGUAACUGCCUAGUCCUGCUGUAGGGGCAGUUUGGGAGUGAACGAGGAAGCCCGGAUCUGGUGCAGAAUGAUGCUGUCUGUUGACACCUAUGGGGCAAAAUGGGAGUCAAUGACCAGGGGAUCCUAUUGUGGACAACAACAAGAAGAAUGGGAGAGAGGAGAAGAGAUGAAAAAACAGAUGUAGGCUGGGUCCUGAGGUGUGCCUGUUCUCAGGAUCCCACCUAGAAGCUGUGCCCCUUUUGUGAACCACCCCAUGUGGCAUCUCACAGCAUGGAAUAAACCUAUUACAUGCUGACACAGCUACACAUCUGAACUAAGAUUGAUAUUUUGUUUGUGGAACUUGUACUAUUAUUUGCAAGCCCACGUAAAAUGUCUUUGAAAUGUGUUUCAAAUGCAGUCCAAAGCCUGUGUAAAGUGUUAAAAUUUUAGAAUAAGUAGUACAAUAGUUGAUGAUUUUCAACUUUUUUUGACUCCAUAGUCAAUUUUCUACUGAUUUUGGGGAAGUAAAACUGUAAAAGUAAAAAUCUAGUAAGAGAUAAUAUAAAGAAAAAAGAAAACUAAUAUGUUGCUUAUCUUACCAAUGUUUUGGUAUUGUCAUGGGAUUUGAAUAAUAAAGGAGAUGAGCAUUUAAGUGCUAAGGCCUGUAUCAGCAGUGUUUACAUUUUUGAGAGGCAUGACAACCUACCCUUGUAAAACAGCCAUAUAGAGAAAAAAUCUUUUUUUUUCUGGAAAUUUGAUGAUAAGUUAGUGUAUCCUUCGUAAGUUUGAAUUUUGACUAUGCCAUCCUCUACUUGAGACUGUGAGAUGCAGUGGUCAGCCCAUCCAUGGUUUCUUUCUGCACAGCAGUGACCCCUGUAGCUUGUCUGGUUCCUUGUAUGUUAACAGUAAGUAUAGGUUGUCCAGAUGUCUUCAGUGCUGCUACAACAGUUGAGAAUGUGAGCUGAACCCAUUCAGCUCUUGAUUCAACAAUUUAAUGACUCAUGAUAAUGAAACUUCUAAAAGUUAUUGCUAAUUGUGCAGAUCAGCCAAUUCUUAAGCUUUGUAUCUGUCAUACCAUUUAUAUUUUAUUUUCUAGGGAAAGCAAAUGGCUUAAUCUUUUUACAAUCAAGUUUUCCUGAGAGAUAUUAAGCAUUUGUAAAGUUGAAGCUUACCUUGGUCUGUUUUAAAUUUGAGUUGUUUUCAUUUCUUAAGCUAGAGUCAAGAAUUCAGUUUAAAUGCAUCAUUUACAGGAGUGACUAAAAUGAUCAUUUUUAGGGGAUAUUUUAUGAUUUGCCAUUAAUUAAUAAUUUUAUAAGCUCAUCCUUGUGAACAAUUUAUUUGGGCAGCUUGAUGGCAUCUUAAAAUGUAAUACUAAACUGCAAUUUAAAUGGAAAUGUCCAGGGUCCUACAUGUCCUUACACUCAUCAAAUAACUCUUCUUCAAUAAUCCAUGCACUGGUAUAUAAGGACUUUAUAUAUUUAUUCAUAUGGAAAUUCUAAAGAUAUACAGUAGAAAUGGGAAUGUUUAGGAGCACUAGUAGACAUACUGUAUCUGAUAGUCAAAGGCCACAAGGCCAGAGUUCUUUCAACCCUAGCUGUUAAUUAAGUGAUCUAAUUGUUUUCUAACUUUCCUUCCAGGUUUGAAGGAUAUGGUAUUUUAAGAACAACUACAACCCUUGGUGAAAACAUGGUGCCCCCCCAAGACUAGGAUUACCAGCCACUGUUUUAGACUCAUAGAAACAGAUAGUUAUGAGAUAAUGCUCUUCCUUAAUUUUUCUUAAUUCUUAAUUUAAUAUUCUUAAUUAAAUUCAGUAAUGUUUUAGAAUUGUUACAAUUUCAGCCAUAUAUGAAGAGAGCAUUUCACAAAUCCAAAAACACUAGAUCUCACUGUUACAAUCUUAUCACGUACGCUAACAAAAAGGUUAACCCAUCAAGUCAAUGCCACACUCCUAGACAGUUACAGGACAAAAAGUUACAGCAUUGCCUAAAGAUUCCUUUAAUUGAAGUCAAGGCAGCGAGGAAAGCAAUAAAUUAGUUCUGUUGCCUGUAUUUUGAUAAAACAGCAAUUUCCUCAGCUGAAUUGUGAUGAAGUGGCACUAUUGAUAUCGGCAACAAAACGCACCAAAAAAACAUUCUGUUGCAGGUUGCGCUUUCAAGGGGGAGUGAUCUAUGUGGAGUACACAUGAGUCCACAAAGCCUCUGAAAGGGCCACCAUGGCAGCCAGCGAGGCGCUCGGACUUCAAGGAGCCUUCUUCAAAGCCUUCCAAUGUAUUUGAAAAUACACGGCAUUCAGGCUCAGCGGAUUUCCCUUUUGUCUCCAGUCAUCAGAAGCGAGUGACAUCUUGAACGCCUCAAGAAGAUUAAAUAGCAAAGCUCAGUCGGAAGCUAAGAGAGAAAAAGGAAAGGGUCGGCCAUUAUGGAGCAGGUCCUUUCUUGUCAGUGAAAGAGCAUUCAAGGAGGGCUAUUGGGAGAAGAAGGCGUAGAUAAAGCACACAAUGAUGGGGAGAAAGGGAGAACUCUGAGUGGAACCAGAGGGAGGAGGGCAGCACUGAAUGGGGAUUAGUGCAGCUUCAUGGCAAGAAAAGGGGAAUCUUAGUUGAGAUGAAAAUGAGGAAUCACUACUCUGGUCAUUCGGUUCACUAAGCAGUAACAAAGCAUGAUGGGAGGUACUUGACAUAACACUCUUCCAGGCCAUGUUUAGCCCCAUUGCAGGGCAAGGAAAAACAUAUUUUAACUUAUUAAACAUUUAAGGGGAAGUAACCAUGUGGAUUGUUUUUAAGUAGUCUAAAGGAAACAUAGAAGAAAUCCACAUCUACUGUAGUAAUGUCUUCAAAACAUAAAUACUGCAUACUGUAGACUACAAGAAGUGGUACUGUACCAUUGUUAAGAAUUUGUUAUUAAAAGUUAGAAAAGGGAAUUUAUUAAGAAAAAAUCUGAAUAAGUUUCAUAAUUGAUUUGCUGUUGCUUAGUGAAAAGUAAAAGAAAAGGUGUUGCUGAAUGACACCUUGUGAAACCUUAGCUUUGUGAUAAAUUAAAAUAUUAUGUACUGUAUUCCCAAGAUGAAACCUAGAAAUUGUUCACACAGUAGUACUGCUUUUGCCUGGAAACAGAACACUCAUUAUGAUAUGCAAUAAAUGUUAAAAUGUGAACUUAAACUUUACUCUUAAAGGUAUUAAAUAAACUCAUUAACAGUAUAUUGAAAUCCUGCAUUUAAAUAUGUGAUCCUCAAACGACUGUUUCCAAAAUUUGCAUUUGACAUUUCAAUGUUAUGUCACAGGAGAAACAUAUUUGCUUUUCCUGAGCAAGAACACAUCAUGGCACAUGACCUUGAUGUUCAACAGCAGAGCAUACAAAGUUUUAUUUCAGUCCAUCUAUUUCUGUAUAAAGACCAGUACUCCCUUGUUGCUUGCUUUAUUUCUUUCUUUAAUCUACACAGAUGUGUGAUUAUAUUGGUAACAUUUAUUUAAUAUCAAAUAAAUAGUGUUGUAUCAAAGUUUUGACAUACUUAAGUGUAAUUAACAAUUUGAAAAUCCUGCAGAAUGUCUGUGUUUACCAAAUAACUUGUGAUGAAAUCCAAUUGCAAUAUAGUGUGUACUUAAUGAAAAGCCUAUUGAGACAGAGUAAGACUGGACUUCCUUCCAAGAAAACCGUACAUACUUUGAUAACAUAGUUGCUUUCCUCUGCUAUUUUUCUCUUUUUCAGUGAGCCAAAUAUAUUGUGAGUUACAUACCCUUAAUUGCUUAUUAUUGCACAUAUCUGUUGCCACUUAAGAGAUACAAAAUUAUUUUGAUUUAUCCAUAAUUUACUGGUAGUCAUAAUAGUCAUUUUUCAAACAGUUAGUAAUAAAUAUACUGUAGAUAAAAACAGAAGAUUAUAAACAAACAAAUAUCAUUACAAAUAGAGCCAGCUUUAAGUUCUUGUAUUUUUAUAUCUAGUACUUGAGGGAACAGAACAACAAGGAAAACGAACCUGGGGUGUGAUGAAGGAACAUUUUUUAAUCCAGGGUGGAGCCAGGAGAGGUUCAAUCAUUGGCUAAAUGAGAGAGUCUCAUAUUGAAUUACCUGGUUGGGAGAUGUUUUCCAAAAAUUUUAAAUAUUUGUCUGAAGAGCAAUAUGUUUAUAUGUCUUUCAGGAAGCUGGACAUUUCCCUAAAACACCCCAAAAAUUGAAGGCUUCUGUGGUUUCUUGUAAGAAGAGAAAUGAUGUACUCCUCAAUUUGAGUGCUUUAUGCAUCAUUCAGGAUUCAUGAUCUUGGAUCAAGCCUUAUGUUGCACCAUAAAUAUGGUUUGUUUCACAGAAAAUAAAUCUCAAUCUUGAUUUAAAUACAUCUAAAGAAAUCAAAGUGUUCUCUAUUGUGCUAUAUAAUCAACAUAUUAAUCACAUGCAUAGCUUUGUCUUUUCAGAAGAAAAAUAAUUUUAAAAUGUUUACGUUUAUUAAGAUGGGACUACAAAGUUUAUAAUGAACGUUAUAUGAGGUUUUCAGAAGCUGAUUUUUUUACCCCCAUUUGGCGUAAUGGCUUGUGAACUUAGGAAUGGCAUUAUGGAAAUGAUCUUUCAUUGUGCAUUUGAAUAGAACAUCCCCCUUAUUUAUGCCCUGCUAACCUCCCAUACAAAGCAUAGUGGCUAGAUUUAUUAUUCUUAUACUACAAGCCGCUCAUUAAACUACUGCAUAUAUUAAACCAAUAAAGCCAAUUAAGUACAAACUAUGAAUGUGUUUAUUUAUUAUUAGUCUCAUUGACAUUAUGGAAUUUGAGUGAUCAUGUCUUCUAAAAAAUGCUUCAGAUAAAGCUUGCACCUUAAUCGGUCUCCUUCAAAUGUAGUUUAAGCAGAAGUCUAAAGGAACUCUUCCCUAUUCAAAAUAUAAUUAUCACUGAACACAGAAAUUUAAACUGCACCAGACAAAACACAUACUCGACAACCAAUUUGAAGAAAUACACAAAGGUAGGGAUAAGGCUAGGUUUAUUAAUUGUUAAAUUUGAAUGGUCUCUGCUUCCACAUCAUUUAAUGGCCACCCAAAGGUUUACCCAGCCUCCUUCAACCCCCCACCAACCUCCUUACACAGCACCCCACCAACAUGAAACAUAAUUUGUCAAAUUUCCAUGUUGUCCCAGAAUAACCACCUGGAGAAUAAUAUGAAAUGUCAACUGUUAUAUCAGUCUUCUGGCAUGUGAAGCAGCAACUUGCUUGUCAAAGUGCAGUCAGCUGAAACAAAGUUAACAUGAUUGUCUCAUUCAUUAAGAAUAUGAUAAACUAUAUGAAGUAAAGAAUGAAUAUCUAUCUAAAUGAUGAUGUAUGUAUUUUUAUCACAAUUUAAAGGGCAAACUUUUAGCUAUAGUGGAUGGUUGUGAUUGUUAUUCUCUGGAAGAGAGAGAAAGUUACAUGAAUUCUUUUUUAGGGGUGGCAUUGGGUGUGUGUAAAAAUAUUAAUUUAAAUAAAAUUGGUUUCUUGGGUAUGUAUUAUUACAGUUUUAAGACUAAAUGUAUCAUAAUCUGUAAAUGUUUGUAAAUAGAUAGGUAUUAUUGAUGCAACAGAGAAAAUAUUAUUACUGUAAAUGUGACUGUUUAUUUUAAAAAGUCAGUAUUUAAAAAUAUAGUAUUUAAAGACAGUGAGAGAUAUGAAACUGUGAGCUGACAAAGAAUAUCUACCAUAUUUGAUAUUGAUAUUUUAU